rnacentral:rRNA from 1 species
UACGUAGGGGGCAAGCGUUGUCCGGAAUCACUGGGCGUAAAGCGCGCGCAGGCGGUCAUCUACGUCUGGGGUGAAAGCCCGGAGCUCAACUCCGGGAUUGCCUUGGAUACGGGAUGACUUGAGGAUCGGAGAGGCAAGGGGAAUUCCACGUGUAGCGGUGAAAUGCGUAGAGAUGUGGAGGAACACCUGUGGCGAAGGCGCCUUGCUGGCCGAUUUCUGACGCUGAGGCGUGAAAGCGUGGGGAGCAAACAGG